AAGGGCACCACAAGAACGCGUGGAGCAUGUGGCUUAAUUUGACUCAACGCGGGAAAUCUUACCGGGUCCGGACACACUGAGGAUUGACAGACAAAUACACACACUACGGUGUGUGCAUGAAAUAUGCUAGUUCUUUCAUGAUUAUGUGAUAGGUGGUGCAUGGCCGUUCUUAGUUCGUGGAGUGAUCUGUCUGCUUAAUUGCGUUUCACUAAAGGCACAUACACAUAAUAUUGUUGUGUUGUGUAUAAUUUAUAAUUAUAUCGCAUACACACAUAUUAUAUUGUGCUUUGAAAGCAACGAACGUGACCGCAACCUCUUGUUGCCUGUAUAUAUGUGUAUUUUAUACACACCACAGGCUAUUAUAAACUAGAGGGACCGCUGUUACUUUCUUUUAAACCAGAGGAAGGUUGCGGCAAUAACAGGUCUGUGAUGCCCUUAGAUGUUCCGGGCUGCACACGUGCUACAAUGAUCAUUGCAGUGCGCAUCUCAUUUUGUUAUACACUGCUUGUGCGUAUGUGCACCAUAUAUUUAUAUGUGUGUGUAUGUAUUGCACGCAGUAAAGCCUACUUCGAAAGUUGUGGGUAAUCAAUUUGAAGUAAUGAUUUCUCCAAAUAUAUACUGCACACUCAUAUACAGUGUCUUAUGUCCAUGAAAAUAUUUUAUAUUUUUGUGUGUGCAUUCGAUGCUCGUAUGUGCAAUUGUCAAUUCAUGGUGGGGACAGACCAUUGUUAAUUGUUGGUCUCGGUCUUAACUAGGAAUGCCUUGUACGGGUCUUUGGUUCAACAAACCACCCGGAAUACGUCCCUGCCCUUUGUACACACCGCCCGUCGCUCUUACCGAUGGACUUCUCUGUGAGUUUGAGGGACUGGAUUUUAUAUCUAUGGAAACU
rnacentral:rRNA from 1 species